AUACGGAGGGGGCUAGCGUUGUUCGGAAUUACUGGGCGUAAAGCGCGCGUAGGCGGCUAAGUAAGUCGGAUGUGAAAGCCCUGGGCUUAACCUGGGAAUUGCAUUCGAUACUGCUUGGCUAGAGUAUGAUAGAGGAUAGUGGAAUUCCUGGUGUAGCGGUGAAAUGCGUAGAUAUCAGGAGGAACAUCAGUGGCGAAGGCGGCUAUCUGGCUCGGUACUGACGCUGAGGCGCGAAAGCGUGGGGAGCAAACAGGAGUAGAAACCCCAGUAGUCC
rnacentral:rRNA from 1 species